rnacentral:lncRNA from 1 species
GUCCGCUCCCAUAGCGGCCGUGGGAACUCAGCGGCACAGAUGUUUCUGCCCCUUGUACAAAUGAGGAAGCUGGGGUUCACACUGCUUCGGUGAGUCUCGGGGGCAGCACUCCCCCCGAGGGCUUCCGGACUUCCCAUCCCUCGUUUUCUCCGCGGGGCUACGCCGCCUGUCUUUGCCCGCGGGGCUUCAGUGGCAUCACCUGACCACAUAAUUGUGCAUGCGUGAAGCCCCCCAGACCGCAGUGGAACAUUCGCCUUCGUACCUCGGAUGAGGUGUGUCUCUACUGUCUGCGCCGGGAGCCUUUGGAAGUCUGGGGGAUAGAGCCGGUAGAGCUCGAGGGGAAGCGCGAAGACCUCGUCCCUAGGGAGAGACAGCUGGGGAAGAUAAACAGGCCAUCAAUUCCGCUCCCCCUCCCCCCGUGUAGUCUGCACAUGGGCAGACAGGCUCAACUGUGCCCAAAACUAGAGAGGAAUCAUCCACAAAAGAGUGCGGCGGCCAAGACUUCGGAAACGCGGCUGGGCUGCUGAGUGCUGCUCCAACAGGGAUCUACCAAUGGACAGUAAAAUGUAAGGAAGCUGUAAUUAGAGGGUGGGGAAAGAGGAGGAUGUCUAGCCCAAAUGAAUGAAGAUUUGAAUUGGAGAAUACUGUAAGACAAUAAUCACAAUGGAGAUCAUUUACACUAGGGGAAAAGAAAAGAGAAACAAAAGAGGCUGUUGUUAGAAUAUUCUCUGGGCUGUCCAUUCAAAUGCAGAAUAUGGAUGAUGAUUUCUCAAUAUACACUGAACUGGAAGAAAGGUUAACUAGAAUGCUGACUUGGAAACUUUGUGUCUCCUUGAUCACAAACCCUAAAUCCUUGGAUUAUAAAUGAACAAUAUCUAAUGUACAUAUUUGUACAAGGUUUAAGGUAUGCAAAGCACUUCACUCCAUUCUCACAACAGUCUUUUAAGAUAAGCACUACAGGCAUAAAUGGAAAAGCUGACAUAUGAUCUAAGAGUCUGGUCUGGGCUUCUCAGAAGGUAACCAGGAUAGCAGAAGGCCUUCAGUCUAAAAUAUCUUUGAGGCAGAAAAGAAAAACAGUUUGGAGACAAAUUCAACUCUACUAGAAGAGAUGAAACAGCUCAAAACAUUUAAAAUAUUUUUAUAAAUAAAAUGAGAACUCUGGAGGAAAAAAACUGGAAA